rnacentral:tRNA from 2 species
GCGAACUUAGCUCAAUUGGUAGAGCACCACCUUGCCAAGGUGGAUGUUGAGGGUUCGAGUCCCUUAGUUCGCUCCA